CUCUCGACUGCCCCUCAAAUGAGGGAUGUAAACCCGAACCGAUGAGGGGAACCCUCGACCCUUCCAGGGUGGGGAGCUUCCG
rnacentral:scRNA from 1 species